rnacentral:rRNA from 1 species
GACGAACGCUGGCGGCGUGCUUAACACAUGCAAGUCGAACGAAGAGCGAUGGAAGCUUGCUUCUAUCAAUCUUAGUGGCGCACGGGUGAGUAACGCGUAAUCAACCUGCCCUUCAGAGGGGGACAACAGUUGGAAACGACUGCUAAUACCGCAUACGAUCUAAUCUCGGCAUCGAGGAUAGAUGAAAGGUGGCCUCUACAUGUGAGCUAUCACUGAAGGAGGGGAUUGCGUCUGAUUAGCUAGUUGGAGGGGUAACGGCCCACCAAGGCGAUGAUCAGUAGCCGGUCUGAGAGGAUGAACGGCCACAUUGGGACUGAGACACGGCCCAGACUCCUACGGGAGGCAGCAGUGGGGAAUCUUCCGCAAUGGACGAAAGUCUGACGGAGCAACGCCGCGUGAGUGAUGACGGCCGUCGGGUUGUAAAGCUCUGUUAAUCGGGACGAAAGGCCUUCUUGCGAAUAGUGAGAAGGAUUGACGGUACCGGAAUAGAAAGCCACGGCUAACUACGUG